UACGGGGGGAGCAAGCGUUGUUCGGAUUUACUGGGCGUAAAGGGCGCGUAGGCGGCCUACUAAGUCGGACGUGAAAUCCCUCGGCUCAACCGGGGAACUGCGUCCGAUACUGGUGGGCUCGAAUCCGGGAGAGGGAUGUGGAAUUCCAGGUGUAGCGGUGAAAUGCGUAGAUAUCUGGAGGAACACCGGUGGCGAAGGCGGCAUCCUGGACCGGUAUUGACGCUGAGGUGCGAAAGCGUGGGGAGCAAACAGG
rnacentral:rRNA from 1 species